UUUUUUUUUUUUUUUUCUCUUUUUAGGACUGACUGACCUAUGCUCAUUGAUUCAUAGAAACUUUAAGAGAUAGUGUGUUUUGUUUUCAGCCAUAAGGCUUUAGGGUGAUUUGUUAUGCAGCAGUAGAUACCUAGUAUACUCUCCAUAAUAGGACUUCAUAAGUCAGUCUAAUUCUUAAGAAAGGAAUAACAAAUCCAAGAAGUGGGACCCCUGUAAUAAAGCAAUAUAUCUAGAUACCCAGGAUCAUUUUUUAUCUUUUAGUGGUGGGAGACCAAUUCCCCUUUAUAGCAUGGAAAUGCCUGGUGAGGAGGAGCCUGGUAUCUGGAACUGUGUUCAGGAGAAGUAUCAGUGUGAUCGAGGUAAAACAAAGUCUGUCCAUCUUGGCACCACUUUGAUACUGGAGAAAGGCUCCUGUCCAGAAGGAAGGGCACAGUAGAGAGGUACUUGCCAAUGAGUUGGGGAGGGCUGCCACUGACUGGCUGGCUUCAGGAAGUGUUUAUCACUGACUGGCUCAUGUUCAGAAGCUUGGAGUGACGCUGUUGUGUAUUGGUUGAUUUUCAGAGUUACGUGUACUGAUCUAAAAUUAUGUAAAUUAAUGGCAAGUACUUGUUAGUGACUUGGGACUUUGGUCAAAAAACAGUCUUUUCCUUCCCUGAAUAUGAAAAAUAAGUUCUUUUAAUUAGCAGACUCCCCUCUUCACUGUUUUUUCUUCCUGCAGUCCAACUUACAGAACAGACCAUAAAGGACUGUCCAGAUCAUUAUUUGUGGAAGUAUGAGAUAUAUAUAUUUCAGCCGGUGUUAACAUUUAAGUUAUUUAAGUGCCAGUUAGCAGAAAAAUAGCUCUCACUACGAGUUUUUCUAAUUUAUUGGAAAAAGCUAAAUGUAAGACAUUUAGGGUGUCCUGCCAAAGUCAACACUGGACAAGAUCAUUUAAUAUAGGACAUGUCCUGUAUAUACAGGAUGCCUGGCAACCGUCGCCAGGGUGUUUUGGUUGUUAAAUGAAUCUGUCCUAAAAGGUUCCAUGCACAUCUAGGUCCUUGGAAGGCAGAGGGCUAAAAGGGCAAG
rnacentral:lncRNA from 1 species